rnacentral:rRNA from 1 species
GUGGGGAAUAUUGGACAAUGGGCGCAAGCCUGAUCCAGCCAUGCCGCGUGAGUGAUGAAGGCCUUAGGGUUGUAAAGCUCUUUUGUCCGGGAAGAUAAUGACUGUACCGGAAGAAUAAGCCCCGGCUAACUUCGUGCCAGCAGCCGCGGUAAUACGAAGGGGGCUAGCGUUGUUCGGAAUCACUGGGCGUAAAGCGCACGUAGGCGGACCAUUAAGUCAGGGGGGAAAGCCUGGAGCUCAACUCCAGAACUGCCUUUGAUACUGAUGGUCUCGAGUAUGGAAGAGGUUGGUGGAACUGCGAGUGUAGAGGUGAAAUUCGUAGAUAUUCGCAAGAACACCGGUGGCGAAGGCGGCCAACUGGUCCAUUACUGACGCUGAGGUGCGAAAGCGUGGGGAGCAAACAGGAUUAGAUACCCCAGUAGUCC